UUUUGGGUGAGGUGUGAGUACAGAAAAGCUAUCACCUCAGA
rfam:Macropus eugenii Contig470697, whole genome shotgun sequence.